GUUUUAUUUUAAAAUAAUUUAUUUAUUUUACUUAUUAUGUUUAAAUAUUUUCAGAAAGAAAUAUAAUUUAAUUUUAUUUUUUUAAUUCAUUUUUUAAUUUUUAAUUAUUUAAUAUUUAAAAAUAUUAAUGUAUAAUAGAGAAAAAAAUGAUGUUAAUAAUUAUAAUAAUUUAUUGUUGUAUUGUUUUUCCACCGCAUCGCGCGUGGUCCUUAACUAGUAAAUACAUGAAUUGGGAACCCAUACAAAGCCUCUCGGAUUUAGGAGGCCUUGUGGGUCCCACUUUUUUUUUAUUUAUUCUCUCACGCUCUCUCUCACUCUCUCUCUCAUACACUAAUUUAUUUAGUGGGGUCCACAUCAAUUUUUAAAAAAAUUAAUUGCACAUUAGGCCCUGAUCUUUUCACUCUUUUUUAUUUUGGUCCCUAAUAUAUCAACUUUGUAUAUUUUUCACUUUAUUCUCCAAACAAUUUUUUAUAAAUUAAUUUAUAUAAUAAUAUAAUAUUUGAUAGUUGAAUUAUUUUACAGUAUAAAAAUAUCUAUUUUGAUUUCGAAUGCCUUUUGAUUAGUCUUAUUUUUUAUGCUUAUGAUAAUUAUCUACUAAUUUCUUUACUAAUUUAAAAUUUAGGAAUCAAAUACUUUAUUAGUUGUAUGUGCGACGAUAAAAGUUAAUGAGGGUACAAUGAAGACGUUGCUGUCAAGGAUACCAAAGAUAGUACUUUCAUUCCAAUUAAUUUUUUUAUUUUAUUUUUUUAUAAAUUCUACCUUGAUGAUAAUAGAAAAAUAAUAAUUUUUUUAAUUCUGUAAUGAGCUUUUAUUUUAUUUUAAAUUGAUUUAUUCAUUUUAUUUAUUAGGUUUAAAUAUUUUUAGAAAGAAAUAUAUCUUAAUGUCAUUUUUUAAUUUAUUCUUUAAUUUAAUUAUUCAGUAUUGAGAUAAAUAAUAUUUAAAAAUAUUAAUGUAUAAUAGAAAAAAAAUAUUAAUAGUUAUUAUAAUUUAUUGUUCUAUUUUCUUCCCGCCGUAUCGCGCGGGG
rnacentral:lncRNA from 1 species